GUGGGGAAUCUUGCGCAAUGGGCGAAAGCCUGACGCAGCCAUGCCGCGUGAAUGAUGAAGGUCUUAGGAUUGUAAAAUUCUUUCACCGGGGACGAUAAUGACGGUACCCGGAGAAGAAGCCCCGGCUAACUUCGUGCCAGCAGCCGCGGUAAUACGAAGGGGGCUAGCGUUGCUCGGAAUUACUGGGCGUAAAGGGCGCGUAGGCGGGCAGUUUAGUCAGAGGUGAAAGCCCAGGGCUCAACCUUGGAAUUGCCUUUGAUACUGGCUGUCUUGAGUACGGGAGAGGUGAGUGGAACUCCGAGUGUAGAGGUGAAAUUCGUAGAUAUUCGGAAGAACACCAGUGGCGAAGGCGACUCACUGGCCCGUUACUGACGCUGAGGCGCGAAAGCGUGGGGAGCAAACAGGAUUAGAAACCCGUGUAGUCC
rnacentral:rRNA from 1 species